ACGUAGGGCGCAAGCGUUGUCCGGAAUUAUUGGGCGUAAAGAGCUCGUAGGGGUGUUGCGCUGCGCGUGAAAGCCCGGGGCUCAACCCCGGGUCUGCAGUGGGUACGGGCAGACUAGAGUGCAGUAGGGGAGACUGGAAUUCCUGGUGUAGCGGUGAAAUGCGCAGAUAUCAGGAGGAACACCGAUGGCGAAGGCAGGUCUCUGGGCUGUUACUGACGCUGAGGAGCGAAAGCAUGGGGAGCGAACAGGAUUAGAUACCCGCGUAGUCC
rnacentral:rRNA from 1 species